GUGAAUGUUGAUUUCUAUUAAAUACAUUGCAAAUACGUACAGCAUGUUCUGUCCCUGGGAAGAUGUCACUAUGAAGAGAUAUCACAGCUGAGUUGCCAGAGAAUUCAAGUGUGAUGGGAAGGGGGAGGAGGAAGGAAGGAAGGCACAAAGAACAAUACAUCCCCACAGCCACCCACGAGGACAGACUCCUAGUGAGAUAUGAAUCAGCAACAACGAAGGAAGUCCUGAUGCCUAAAGGGAAUUACUCUUUAGAGAAAAGCAAGCAGCUGCUAAGGGUGAUAACUUCAAUAAGGAGCCUAAAGAAGACAGGCUUGUAAAUUAGACAUCUCAGCUUCCUCUUCAAAGCAAUGAGUGUAUGAAGAAAGAAACAAGGUUCAUCAUGAGAAUUAAACUAGUUCAGUAUUUUGUCCCCUUUAAAAAAAUAAUAAAAAAUCUUAUAUCUUACCUUACA
rnacentral:lncRNA from 1 species